GCCGCCUGGAAAAACACCAGGUCCUUGACGACAACGUCAGCCACCAUCUUCUGGAACUCUCGAAUAAGCCAAGUCAUAUUUCUGCUGGAGACUGUAAUGCUUCCUGACACCCAUAGGUGGCAGCAGAACACCCAGGUCACGCAGCCGCCUGGAAAAACACCAGGUCCUUGACAACAACAUCAGCCACCAUCUUCUGGAACUCUCGAAUAAGGAGUUCUAUGUACUGUGGACCCAGAAGACAUUAUGCCUACGUUACUAGCAAGCCAUGUAAACAGUGUACAAGAAGGUGGGAAACACCAGCACAACCAGUGUGCAAAGGAUUCUGACAUUAAAGAGGCAUCCGCUAUACGCUGAUAUUAUUGCCUAAGAAGAAAAUGCUGCAGACCUGCUUCUAGUGAAAACCUGAGUGGUACAGAACCACAAGCUAGAACUCCAGGAAGGCAGCACAAGGACGAUGUACACCCUGCUCUAGACCUCGACCUCACCAAGACAGCUGGCUUCUAUACUUUUACUUGGAUGCUCCUCCUUUGCAGCAGAGUUUGAGGAGGCUCCCCCGAGUGUCUAGCAUUCGACACUCAGCAAAGAGGGCAGAAACACCCUGGUGUGUCUCUCAGCUCUCGGAGUUCCUCUCUGCAGAGCGAGUGACCUUCUGCCCACUCGGCGUUUUGGAUGAGGCAUCUCGAUUUUCACAAGAAGCUAGUCAAGUUGCCCACCUAUUCACGUUGAAAGCAUACAGAUUCACCUUCAAACAGCACAGGGCACCUGUGAUUGUGCACCUAACUGGAGCAGUAACCUAAGUCAUGGGCAGCCCUUUCCCCAUCAGAACAGUGGACGGUGGGGGUCACACCCAUCCACCCCUCCACUCUAGACAGCCCAGCGCAGCUCAUAGUUUCUUCUUUUUACACUCUUGCAUUUUCCACAUUUGCUACCAUGAGAAUGUUGUCUGUUUAUGGUAAAAGAAGAACAUGAUUUAUUUUUAAAAGCUAAACUUGGAACAGUCUAUCUUUUCUACUCCCCACCAUCACAUCUUGACAUAAGCAGUUUCAUUGAAAUACAACCAACGCUGACUGUUUUCAUGAGAAAACAUCACAGAAGUUGUGAAAUCCCAGAGAGCACUUUGAGGGAGGUGUUUUUUUUUUUUAUGAACAGGAUAUUGCUGAGGUUCUCUACCCAUCACUCAAUUUGUGUCCCUCGUGAACCACGUAAGAAACCUCUUCCAGAAGCAGACACCAGAAAAACACCGUUUCGCCCAAGCAACUGGUGUCCUUUUUCUCCACAGAUAGAGAGAAUUGGGUAACUUGUCAAAUUUUGUUUUUCUUUUGACCUGUCUGUGUCCUUUUUCUCCACAGAUAGAGAGAAUUGGGUAACUUGUCAAAUUUUGUUUUUCUUUUGACCUGUCUGUUGAAAGGUCAGAUAUCAGUAUGGAUUAUAACUAAUAUCUAAGCAGGACUCAUACCUAUUUAUUAUGGGGAUCCCAGGCUCUAACCUGGUCUUUAAGUUUGUUUUGUUUUUAAUACAAUUCUACUGAGUGGAUGUGUUCUUGAAGCCACCCUAACCAUAAGGCAGGACACAAUUAAACCAAACAGCCUACUCUGCUCAAUAUUAAUGCCUAAUUAUUUAUGUCCUACGGUUUUUAAACUGAGGGAAACAAACUCAUGGUGUAGUGUUAACAAUAUUUCUCAACUAGUAAAUAAAAGCUGGUUUGACAUUAGGAACUAAGAAUGAAUUAUGAUUUCACUUCCAUAGUUAAUCCAUUAAAUUUCUUUCUUUUCACUUAUGAAAGAUAUUUACUUAAUUAUUUCACACCAGGAUGGAGGAAACAAACACAAAAAUUCUUCCAGAACUAUUGCACCAAUUAAUAGAGCAAAGAAGGUGAUACAUCACAGGUGCUGUAAAACAGACUUGACAUCAGGUCUGUGUGCAGACCCUGACAUCACUACUUAGUAAUGGUGUGAGUUUGUCUGAGUGGAAAUGUGGAGAGUAACAUUCCCUAUCUAAUAGGGGUGUUGUGAGACUGAAGUAACGUAUGUAAAGUACUUAAAAUAAUUCACAUGUUACCCAAGCAAUCAGAAUAGCUACCAUUGUCACUGCCAUUGCUGUAUAUCGCUUACAGGGUUCUUUUGCAACCAUUUAACUUAUUUCUGCCAAAGAACUAUUGAAGGAUUUUCUUGCAUACCUGCAAAAGAGCAAUAUUUUUCCAACGAGGGCAUUAAACGUUAACAGUUCGGUGACUGGGACACUGUGACGGCUUACCUGAACUGUCUAGUGCGGAGAAAACAAAGGGCUCGGUUACCGUAAAAAAGGUGAUUGUCGGGACUUUAAAAGAAAUAACACUGAGUCAGUAGAGCAAAUUACAUAUGAAACAAACAAAAGUCAUACAGAAAACACAAGGCAUGGGGAAACUUUCAAACCCUUACGUGUGCGUGGCAGAGCAGAAAGAACGCAGGACUGGGAGCACUAACUGGUUAGGUCCUGGUUCCUUUACCUCCCACCUGAGUGGCUGCUCAAAUCAUCUUCAACUUCCCUGUACUCAACACAGAGACUUCCACUACUUCGCCUCGCUCACAGAGCUACUGGGAGGGCCAAACGGGACAGACUAAAAGGCUAGAACUACAAGUAUGCAUACUUGUGGAGGACAGUACUGCAUAUCAGGUUGGGACUACGCCACCUUGACAAAGAACCCACAGGAAGUCUGUAAACUGGAAGGGCCAUUUAACGGCUUCGGUUCAAACCCUCCCUCUUUGGUCUUAUCUGACCGCAGGUGGUAGAGCCCACCGCUCUUUUCCUCCGCCCUCUCCUCAGAAAAACCGAGUGGCAACCUUCCAGCUGUGCCGUGCUGCCUGGAUUAGUUCAUUCCCCCGGACACUGCAAGGGAGGACUGAGAGACACACUGUCUACAGUGCACCCUCCGUGGCUGCCACAGUAUUAGGUGCCCCAGUGAAGGUGUCCCAGGAGCCAAGUAAGGCACACUUGCAGAAAUGCCACCAAAUUCUAGCUGCUGAGCAAAUACAAAGCGAUGUAGAGAGAACGCUCACAUUCUCUGAACAAGUCCAAUUAUUAUCUCUUAAAAGUUUCCUCUUAGAAAGCAAAAAUCCCUGAAUGGAUGACAUCUUCAGUAUUAGUAACUACCACUUGGAAGAAAUUAUGAAAGGCAAACUGAAAGAACGUAAGUCUGCAUAGACAGCGUGGAAGAAAACGAAGGCAGCAGGCAGAACCAAACUCCCAAUUUUGCCUGAACAGCUUGAGUUUUACUAGCUGACUGAGUUCGUAUGCUCAGACCAUCUCUGAGGCUUCUAAUGCCUACGGGAGAGAAACUCUAAUCUGCAGAGCAAGUUAAAGAUGUUCUCCAAUGUCUCAUCAUUUCCCCCCUGACCAGCGUUCUUACUUAUCUGCCACAUAAAAAGGAUUUCAUUGUUCUGUUUGCC